GACGAACGCUGGUGGCGUGCUUAACACAUGCAAGUCGAACGGAAAGGCCCUUCGGGGUACUCGAGUGGCGAACGGGUGAGUAACACGUGGGUGAUCUGCCCUGCACUUUGGGAUAAGCCUGGGAAACUGGGUCUAAUACCGAAUAGGACCACGCGCUUCAUGGUGUGUGGUGGAAAGCUUUUGCGGUGUGGGAUGGGCCCGCGGCCUAUCAGCUUGUUGGUGGGGUAAUGGCCUACCAAGGCGACGACGGGUAGCCGGCCUGAGAGGGUGACCGGCCACACUGGGACUGAGAUACGGCCCAGACUCCUACGGGAGGCAGCAGUGGGGAAUAUUGCACAAUGGGCGCAAGCCUGAUGCAGCGACGCCGCGUGAGGGAUGACGGCCUUCGGGUUGUAAACCUCUUUCAAUAGGGACGAAGCGCAAGUGACGGUACCUAUAGAAGAAGCACCGGCCAACUACGU
rnacentral:rRNA from 1 species